GCAAGCAUAGUUUCAACCCAAAACGUUAGACUGUGAUUCUAAAGAUAGAAGUUAAAUUCUUCUUGCUCGCC
rnacentral:tRNA from 1 species